AUGAGUUUUUGCAAGGGGAGGAGCCCCGUUCGAACACGUUUGAGCAGUGAGCGCGCGAUUGUUUGAAGAUUCCGGCUGAUGAUGCACACGAUGGAUUUGGAAAGCAGCAUGUAAUGGUGUUCAUGGAGUUCUCAUUAACGUUACAGGAUUGUGGACAAGAAUCUCAAGUAUGAAAUCAUUGACCAACAUAGUCUUAGUCUAACUUAGAUAUUUCAGUUUAGGAGAGAGAAAGUUGGGCAGCUGUUGACAGCUUUAACAACAAAUCAAGACUAAAGAGCCAACUAAUGUCUCUGGUGCUCAGAGCACUUUCUAUAGUCCUUGGCCACAAACUUACAGAUUUCUACAAAGUAUGCUUUGAAACUCACGCUCUAGACUGUUGUGAAUGCAUUCAGGACCGCUUGCAGAGGCUGUGGAUGCUUCUCAUACCAAUUGUUUUACUUAAGACCUCAGUGUAUGGUCAGGAGUAUCCACAGGACUCUGAUGACAUUGGAAUCCUCCUCAUUGAGCAAGAAGGCUCUCAUCUUCUCUCCAUCUCAAUCCAGCCUCAUUGAAGAUCAUCAUUGAAGGAGAAGUUGUGAUGGACAAUAUUGAUGACUUGCCAAAAGCUAUAUGCAUUAUGGACUUGCAUACACACUGCUUCUCAACUACCCUAAAUCUAUGAAGAACACAUUCCAGUUCAUCCAACGGGUAUGGCAGAUAUUGUCCCUACCACAUUUUGAAAGUAACUGAAAAAGUCAUGGCCUAGUGGUUAGAGAGUUUGACUCCUAACCCUAAGGUUGUGGGUUUGAGUCUCGGGCUGGCAAUACCAUGACUGAGGUGCCUUUGAGCAAGGCACCGAACCCCCAACUGCUCCCCGGCUGCCGCAGCAUAAAUGGCUGCCCACUGCUCCGAGUGUGUGUUCACGUUGUGUGUGUCUGUGUUCACUGCUGUGUGUGUGCACUUUGGAUGGGUUAAAUGCAGAGCAAGAAUUCUGAGUAUGGGUCACUUUCAAAAUAUCUUGCGGUAUGUAUUAGGUAUAUUAAAGGGAAAACAAGAUCAACAAAUAAUUCUUCAUAAUCUAAUCAGGGUGAUAAAAACUACUACAACAACAAAAACAUUUGACUCCUUAUGCAUGUAUAACUGGUAAAGUGCAAUAACGACGUGAUUUUCAGUUGUCGCACUUUUCGUAAUGUCAUUAUAGGAUUUUAUUUAAAAAAAGAAAAGAAAAUGGAGCGCUUCCUUCUGCUAAAUAGGCCUUCCCUAUAGAUUUUUCUAGUCAACUAUUCGCACGUUAUAUUAAAUUGAUUAAUAUAAUAAUAUAUUAACCAUACUUUAAUAGGCUACAGGCAUUCCGCGCUCAAGCUCACGCAUAAAGCAAUUGCCUCAAAACACCGGCAAAGUGAUUAUGAACGUAUCAGGGGAAAAGAAGACAUUUUAAUAAUUUAUUAAUAAGUGCUUUCUGAGUCGGGUGCAAUGAUUAGGUUGACGAAUGCCGACACUGAUUCGCCAUCUCCACGGACCUGGCUUUAAUAGAAAUAAACCUUUUCAUACGGACUACAAAAUUAAAGAAUAGCCUAUAACAAAAUCGAGUGAGCGGCGUCAGCAGGAGCGCGAAGGUGCGCGCAGCAAAAAUGACGCGAAUACUGAUGGUUUUCACGCUAAAGUAAAGUAAAAGACCGCUUCUUAAACCAGAGAUGGUGAACAUGUUGGUAUUCUCGUGGGGGGGAAAACAUGCAAGAGCUGUCACCGACAGCAAGUUUAGUUUUACUUUUCUUUUUGUUUUGAUUUCAUUUUGAAAAGCUUAUCUUUGCUGUUUACAUCACGUUAUGCUAUGGAGGCUCUCUUUUAUUUAUUUUUUAUUUUUAUUUGAUUCCUCAUUGCUUGCUAAACGUUCUGUAAUUUAUUAGUCAUUAGGCUAUGCAGCCUAAUACAGCAUGUAGUGUAGGCAUAUUCCAUGUCUCAUCUUAUCGUUUUUGUUAAUAAACGUUUUGUAAGCUACUCUGGAGAGGGAGUAACAUCUUUGCGUGGCAGGGGCAGCUGCCACUCGACCUGUCACAGAUAUACGCGCCUGUCACUCGACCUGUCACAGAUAUACGCGCCUGUCACUCGACCCGUCACAGAUAUACGCGCCUGUCACUCGACCUGUCACAGAUAUAAGCGCCUGCCCCGCUUUCUGCCACGGAUAAACGCGCCUGUCACUGGAACCGUC
ensembl:lncRNA